UUCGGUAUCCUGUGUUGCUUACCUAUGGAAAGGAAUCCGAUGGUUUCGUUAGUCCCUUUCCGCCCCCUGCCCUCACGGGUUUUGGGGUGGACAUCAGGCAAGCCUCGUGUUCCCGGCAUGCUUCGCCCAGCUGCGUCGCUGCCUCGGCCCAUGAGGUGCAUUGCCCGUGCUCUCGGAUGCAGAAUGUUAUGUGCGGGUGCGGGGUCUAUUUAUUAGCUCCGUUUGCCCAAGCAACGCAUUUGUCUUACGACACGAACGACUGCCGUGCCCGUCUUGAGCCCGCGGCCGUACGGCCUGCCGGGUCUCAUGCGGGCGUCGG
rnacentral:misc_RNA from 1 species